AAGUCCUGCAUCUCUAUGGAAACAGCACAACUAUGACUAGAAGCAGAGAGACCUUAGAAAAUUCUUCUAUGCAAUCUGAAACAGUCAUACCAACACGGACUGGAAUCCUCUGGAAGCUUCACGUCUCAGACCUGAACUCACCGGCAGAUAGAACAAGCUGCUCUCUGGGAGGACAGACAGAUUCUCAAUCUCUCCCUGGCACAAGCAGUCAUCCCCACCUGCCUGAAAUCUGCCACAAUCAUCCCCGUACCAAAACAGUCACCCACAGCCAGCCUCAGUGACUACUGCCCUGUUGCCCUCACACCUGUUAUAAUGAAGUGCUUUGAGAGACUGGUUCUCUGGUACAUCAAAGACUGUCUCCCCCCCAACACUCGACUCCCACCAGUUUGUAUACCGAGCGAACAGAUCCACAGAGGACGCCAUCACCAUAGCUCUGCACGCUGUGCUGACCCACCUGGAACAACCACAGAGCUAUGCCAGGAUGCUCUUUGUGGAUUACAGCUCGGCUUUCAACACAAUCAUACCGGACAUCCUGAUAAACAAACUGGACACCCUGGGCCUCCCCCCUCUCACAUGCAGCUGGAUUAAGGACUUCUUAACCAACAGACCCCAGUCUGUGAGACUUGGUUCCCACCUUUCCUCCACCGGUGCACCACAGGGCUAUGUGCUGAGCCCCCUCCUGUAUUGUCUCUACACCUAUGACUGCAGACCCACAGAAACAACAUCAUCGUCAUAUUUGCUGACGACACCACAGUGGUCGGUCUGAUCUCAAAAAGUGAUGAGACAGCCUACAGAGAGGAGGUCCAGAAACUCACAACCUGGUGUUCAGUAAACAACCUGACACUAAACACCUCAAAGACAAAGGAGAUCAUCAUGGACUUCAGGAGGAACAGAACUGACCCGCCCCCCCUCGAGAUCAAUGGCGAGUGUGUGGAGAGAGUCCACACAUUCAGGUUCCUGGGAGUCCAGAUCUCCGAUGACCUCUCCUGGACAGACAACAUCACGGCUGUCAUAAAGAAGGCUCAGCAGCAGCUACACUUCCUGAGAGUCCUCAGAAAAACAACCUGGUACAGGAAGCUGCUGCUGGCCUUCUACAGCUCAUCCAUAGAGAACCUGCUGACGUUCUGUGUUUCCACCUGGUACAGGAGCUGCACUGAGGCAGACAGAGUGAGGCUUCAGAGGAUUGUUGGC
ensembl:lncRNA